AAGUCGAGCGAGAAGCUACCUUCGGGUAGUGGACAGCGGCGCACGGGUGAGUAACGCGUACACAAUCUACCUUAUAGAGGAGAAUAGCCCUGGGAAACUGGGAUUAAUGCUCCAUAGUAUUACACUUUGGCAUCAAGGUGUAAUUAAAGCUCCGGCGCUAUAAGAUGAGUGUGCGUACUAUUAGCUAGUUGGUAAGGUAACGGCUUACCAAGGCUACGAUAGUUAGGGGGCGUGAGAGCGUGACCCCCCACACGGGUACUGAGACACGGACCCGACUCCUACGGGAGGCAGCAGUAAGGAAUAUUGGACAAUGGGCGCAAGCCUGAUCCAGCCAUCCCGCGUGGAGGAUGACUGCCCUAUGGGUUGUAAACUCCUUUUAUUUGAGAAGAAACGCCUGGAUUUAUCCGGGCCUGACGGUAUCUUAUGAAUAAGCACCGGCUAACUCCGUGCCAGCAGCCGCGGUAAUACGGAGGGUGCAAGCGUUAUCCGGAAUCACUGGGUUUAAAGGGUGCGUAGGUGGUUUAGUAAGUCAGAUGUGAAAGCCCGGCGCUCAACGUCGGAAUUGCAUUUGAUACUGCUGAACUUGAAUCAGGUUGAGGUGGGCGGAAUGUGGCAUGUA
rnacentral:rRNA from 1 species